UACGGCCACAUCAAUUUGAAACACCCGUUCCAGUACGAUCAUCGAAGUUAAGCAAUGUCGAACCUGGUCUGUAUCUAGCUGAGUGACCGCUUGGGAAUACCAGUUGCU